rnacentral:rRNA from 1 species
GUAGGUGGCAAGCGUUGUCCGGAAUUAUUGGGCGUAAAGCGCGCACAGGCGGUCCUUUAAGUCUGAUGUGAAAGCCCACGGCUCAACCGUGGAGGGUCAUUGGAAACUGGGGGACUUGAGUACAGAAGAGGAAAGCGGAAUUCCAAGUGUAGCGGUGAAAUGCGUAGAGAUUUGGAGGAACACCAGUGGCGAAGGCGGCUUUCUGGUCUGUAACUGACGCUGAGGCGCGAAAGCGUGGGGAGCAAACAGGAUUAGAUACCCUGGUAGUCCACGCCGUAAACGAUGAGUGCUAAGUGUUAGGGGGUUUCCCGCCCCCCUUAGUGCUGCAGCUAACGCAUUAAGCACUCCGCCUGGGGAGUACGGCCGCAAGGCUG